AUGUUAUUAUGGAGUGACUGCAAGCCCUCUCCAACACCAUAUGAUGCUAGCGUGCUGCUUCGAAAGAAUCGAAGAAUUGCUAGAGAUCAAUUGAAGUAUUCUCAGAUUAUUGGCUCGCUUAUGUACUUAGCAAGUGCUACAAGACCUGACAUCUCUUUUGCUGUUAGCAAACUGAGUCGAUUUGUUUCAAAACCAGGAGAUGUGCAUUGGAAAGCUCUAGAGAGAGUUUUGCGUUAUUUGAAAGGCACUGCGAAUUAUGGAAUUCACUACACUGGGCAUCCAAAGGUGCUUGAAGGGUAUAGUGACUCAAACUGGAUCUCAGAUGCUGAUGAGAUAAAGGCCACAAGCGGUUAUGUAUUCACUCAUGGAGGUGGCGAUGUUUCUUGGAAGUCUUGCAAGCAGACCAUCUUAACGAGGUCAACUAUGGAAGCAGAACUCACAGCACUAGAUACAGGUACGGUCGAAGCAGAUUGGCUUCGCCGACUCUUGAAUGACUUGCCGGUUGUUGAGAAACCUGUACCGGGUGUCCUUAUGAACUGCGACAAUCAAACUGUGAUCACGAAAGUGAGCAGCUCAAAGGAUAACAUGAAGUCAUCAAGACACGUUCAGAGAAGGUUAAAGUCUGUCAGGAAAAUGAAAAACUCUGGAGUUAUUGCAUUGGAUUAUGUCCAAACGUCUAAAAAUCUGGCAGAUCCUUUUACUAAGGGUCUAUCACGUAAUGUGAUAGAUAGUGCAUCAAGGGAGAUGGGUAUGAGACCCACA
rnacentral:rRNA from 1 species